rnacentral:rRNA from 1 species
UGGCGACCAAGAUCUACAUCGUUUAUUACUCCAUUUUUUUUUUGUUCAUCUGCAUACUAUUCGACAUGGGGACACGUCGCGACGCUUGCGGAGGAGAUUAAGAAGGGCGCCGACUCCGUCCCUGGCGUCGAGGUCACCAUCUGGCGGGUGCCCGAGACGCUGCCAGAGGAUGUGCUGGGGAAGAUGCACGCGGCGCCUGGCGGCGGCCAGGAGACCACGGCUCUCACGGCCGUGACACAGCUGACGCACCACGGCAUGCUGUUCGUGCCCGUCGGAUACACGCACGGCGCCGGCAUGUUCGGCAUGGACGAGGUCAAGGGUGGCAGCCCAUACGGAGCUGGCACCUUCGCUGGCGCCGAUGGCAGCAGGGUACCUAGCGACGCCGAACUCGCCUUGGCGGCGGACCAGGGGAAGUACUUUGCCGGCAUCGCCAAGAAGCUCAAGGCCGUCUGA